UCUAGCGAGCCCACCUCCCACCCGUGUUUACUGUACCUUAGUUGCUUCGGCGGGCCCGCCAUUCAUGGCCGCCGGGGGCUCUCAGCCCCGGGCCCGCGCCCGCCGGAGACACCACGAACUCUGUCUGAUCUAGUGAAGUCUGAGUUGAUUGUAUCGCAAUCAGUUAAAACUUUCAACAAUGGAUCUCUUGGUUCCGGCAUCGAUGAAGAACGCAGCGAAAUGCGAUAACUAGUGUGAAUUGCAGAAUUCCGUGAAUCAUCGAGUCUUUGAACGCACAUUGCGCCCCCUGGUAUUCCGGGGGGCAUGCCUGUCCGAGCGUCAUUGCUGCCCAUCAAGCACGGCUUGUGUGUUGGGUCGUCGUCCCCUCUCCGGGGGGGACGGGCCCCAAAGGCAGCGGCGGCACCGCGUCCGAUCCUCGAGCGUAUGGGGCUUUGUCACCCGCUCUGUAGGCCCGGCCGGCGCUUGCCGAACGCAAAUCAAUCUUUUUCCAGGUUGACCUCGGAUCAGGUAGGGAUACCCGCUGAACUUAAGCAUAUCAAUAAG
rnacentral:rRNA from 1 species